rnacentral:rRNA from 1 species
AGAGUUUGAUCCUGGCUCAGGAUGAACGCUGGCGGCGUGCCUAAUACAUGCAAGUCGAGCGAACGGACGAGAAGCUUGCUUCUCUGAUGUUAGCGGCGGACGGGUGAGUAACACGUGGAUAACCUACCUAUAAGACUGGGAUAACUUCGGGAAACCGGAGCUAAUACCGGAUAAUAUUUUGAACCGCAUGGUUCAAAAGUGAAAGACGGUCUUGCCGUCACUUAUAGAUGGAUCCGCGCUGCAUUAGCUAGUUGGUAAGGUAACGGCUUACCAAGGCAACGAUGCAUAGCCGACCUGAGAGGGUGAUCGGCCACACUGGAACUGAGACACGGUCCAGACUCCUACGGGAGGCAGCAGUAGGGAAUCUUCCGCAAUGGGCGAAAGCCUGACGGAGCAACGCCGCGUGAGUGAUGAAGGUCUUCGGAUCGUAAAACUCUGUUAUUAGGGAAGAACAUAUGUGUAAGUAACUGUGCACAUCUUGACGGUACCUAAUCAGAAAGCCACGGCUAACUACGUGCCAGCAGCCGCGGUAAUACGUAGGUGGCAAGCGUUAUCCGGAAUUAUUGGGCGUAAAGCGCGCGUAGGCGGUUUUUUAAGUCUGAUGUGAAAGCCCACGGCUCAACCGUGGAGGGUCAUUGGAAACUGGAAAACUUGAGUGCAGAAGAGGAAAGUGGAAUUCCAUGUGUAGCGGUGAAAUGCGCAGAGAUAUGGAGGAACACCAGUGGCGAAGGCGACUUUCUGGUCUGUAACUGACGCUGAUGUGCGAAAGCGUGGGGAUCAAACAGGAUUAGAUACCCUGGUAGUCC